rfam:Lupinus angustifolius cultivar Tanjil chromosome LG10, whole genome shotgun sequence.
CAGUGUGAUGAAAAACUGUGGAAGCCGCACCAGACUGACCAGAGAAUGAUGUAGCAAAAGAGCGCCCAGCACCGUCUGGAA